CCUACUGUCAGUCAGCGUGAGAGCUGCACUGUGAGGAGAGAGAUGCUGUUUGUUAAGCAUUUAAUGUGCCUUUAAGCAGGUCUACAAGAGCAGCUUUCAGGAAUCUCGAGGUUUUCUGUGCUAUAAAGGAAGAACAAUAUGUGACAUGUGAUGGAAGACAUCUGACAAUAUAUGCUCAUAAUUGACACCUAAAGCCAAGGGAUACCAGGAUGGCCGAGUGGUUAAGGCGUUGGACUUAAGAUCCAAUGGACGUAUGUCCGCGUGGGUUCGAACCCCACUUCUGGUAGGAUGAUUUUGCUAUUUCAUUCGUGACAACACAACAACAGAAAUACCUUACAGUCUGGGGCUAAUG